AGAAUCAACGCUGGCGGCGUGCCUAACACAUGCAAGUCGAACGAGAAAGUCCGCAAGGACAAGUAAAGUGGCGACCGGGUGAGUAACACGUGACUAACCUACCUUUUAGUGGGGGAUAACUCCGGGAAACCGGGGCUAAUACCGCAUAACAUCGCAAGAUCAAAGCAGCAAUGCGCUGGAAGAGGGGUCGCGGCUGAUUAGCUAGUUGGCGGGGUAAUGGCCCACCAAGGCGAAGAUCGGUA
rnacentral:rRNA from 1 species